rnacentral:lncRNA from 1 species
GCUGGUGUCAUCACUCAGCAGGGACCUCGUCUCUUGUCCCUGGGCUCUCUUACAUGGCUCGUAGUUACAGAUGUGGACCUGCCAUCCGUGGCUUUGGAGCCACUCACUGACAGAUUGCCUCCUUUUUAGGCAGAGGAUAUUUUGCCUUCAUUUCCCACUGGAUGAUAUAUAGGCCUCAGAGAUGUUGUGCUAUCUGAUCCAUACCUGGUUGUUGCAAUAACUUAAGUAUUUGAAGUGCAAAAGAUAUUCCUUCUACAACAGGAAUGUGAUAAUCACUGUGGAAACUGUACAGGUGAGUAGGGAUAGGUAUAUUGAAAGUAAGUAAAACAGUCCAAGUUUGUCAAACCUUGAAAGAAUUCUUAUUGAUCUUUCUUGGCCUGGUAUUGGUGGCA